GCCAUAGCUCAGGGGUAUGGCAUCUGCUUUGCAUGCAGAAAGUCCCAUGGUCAAUUCCUGGCAUCUCCA